GGCCUCCCUCUGUGGGGCAAUCGAUCGUGGAGCCCCCAGAUUGAUUGCCCGCAGAAGGAGGCC
rnacentral:pre_miRNA from 1 species